UUCUGGCAACAAUGCACAGCUUCUUUCUAGGCAAUCCACCCGCUGAGGGCACCAAGUCUGAACCUCCAGCCUUCCCGGCGAGCUUGCAGAAGAAAGAUCAGGUGGAGGGGUCCUAAAGGCCUCCAGCCCGUGAUGCAGUCCCCACCCACUGUGGCUGGAAUACCAGACUUGCCGCCACGGUUAUGCUUGCCGCGCUGGGAAAGUGUGUAGAGGCUGAGGCUUGGACGCGCUGCUCGCUCACACCCGGAGAUCCUCGGGAACAGUAAGAAGCCGCUUUCUCGGCACUCUCCGUGCCGAGGGCAGGAAGUCAGGACCUUGGACCUCCGGGCAGGAGAGGAGUGAAAGAUCAGGUGGGCGGGUCCUAAAACCCUCCAGUUGGGAUAGGUCCCGGAGAGGAUCUGGUGCUGAAUAAUUGCAUGUUAGAGAGCACGCUUAAAAUUGACAGUUAGUGCGGUGGCACAGGGCGGCUCAGUCUGUUGAGCAUCCGACUCUUGCUCAGGUCACGAUCUCCCGAUUUGUGAGUUCGAGCGCCGCAUCGGGUUCAAUGCUGUCUUCCUGUUAGCGCAUAGCCCGCCUCGAAUCCUCUGUCCCCAUCUCUCUGUCCCUUCCCUGCCUGCGCUCUCCCCAAGAUAAAUAUUUUUUGAAAAUUGA